GAGGGCACACGGCCCAGCCCCGGACAGCCUGUUGCCUUGCAGGAACGCAGACCUAGUGAUGCCAGGUCUAAAUUUUCAAGAAAAGCUAGAAAUCCAGAUUAUGUAGAGAUUCAAUAUUUAAAAGUUGGGAACUUUUUUUUUAAGUCAAUUGCUGGAGCACCAGUUUGCUGUCUCUGAAUUAAUGUGAUUUUAAGCAUUUCUCGUAGUGACCUGUUGAAGCAUUGUGUCUGAGUGCAGAGACGGAACUCUUGAAGAACGGAAGAGAUUUCAGAGAAAAGUGACAAAUUAAAUGAUACGUCUUGUGGCAAAGUGACCAGCACACAGUAAUCAUUCAGUUCGUGUUUGUUUAUGAAAAAUCACUUAAAAACGUAUUGAAAAGACAAGAGGAGGAGGAGGAAGGAGCCAAGAGCUGGCCGCCACUGUCUUCAGUCACAUUGGUCACCUGGAAAGCAGAAUCCUAUCAAUGGAAUUGUAUUGUUCCCUUGCUUUCAACAUUGUGGCCAUCUACUCGUCCUGUCUCCAGGAAUUGCUUAGCUGUAUUUCUCGCAGUAGGUGCCCGAGAGACAUUCAAGUGGAGCUGACUUGGGCUGUCUAGAAGAGAGGCGACGGGUGGCUCCGAAGGAAGAGGCCUGACACCGAGUCCGGAAGAACGUCGCAUCGAGGCAGAGGGCGCAGGACGAGCCAGCGACAAAGGCGGGGGCGGAGCAGCGGAGGGGUAGGCGCGAGGCAACGGCAGCCUUGGCCGCGCGGGCCACGCUCAGAACUUGGCAAGCCCUCUUUCCCAAACACUCGCCCCCAGCCGCCCCGGCCUCCCGGCGAACAACGCCUGUGCCUAAUCGCGCCGGGGACACCUAAUCCCGCCGCGCGCCGCUCCAGCCCGCGCCGCGCUCCCGAGGGCAGGGGCUCCAAGGGCGAGGGCUCCUGAUGGCCGGGGCUCCGAGGGUCUUGGCUCCGAGGGCGGGGGCUCCGAUAGGAGGGGCUCCGAGGGCUGGGGCUCCGAUGCUUGGU
rnacentral:lncRNA from 1 species